rnacentral:lncRNA from 1 species
AGGACCCCAGCGAGUACACACUAGGGUCUUCUUAAAGAAGUCACUUGUAAUUGACAGAGAGAUGGGCAAGAUAAAAAUUUAAAACUAACAUGUAAUAAACCAUUGCCAGUCAAAGAUGAAGCCCAUCUGAAGUGAAAACCCAAGUUAUAAAACAGAGGGUUUGAAUCAACAUGUACUUCUCAGGAACUGAUCAACUUAUAGAAUGUGGUGUAUCUAUAGAGCCAACUUUAAUUAUCUGAUAUUGUCUUAUUUACCCUAUGAUUCGUCAUUACCUGGAUGUUUCAGCCAACACAGUCAAUGGGAUUGUAUGUGAAACCUGUGAUUUCUACAUCAACUGGUCAAUCAAUGAAGAGAAAAAUCAGCCAAAUUAUCUUUUUGCAUUGUCUGGUUCCUUGACCUCACCUCAGCUUUCCCCAAACAAAUCAACACACAAUGGUUAUUUGACUGGACUUUUUAAUGCUUUAUCCACUUGUUUUGAUUUUGAACAAACAUAGACCCCUCAUUCCUGAAACUUCUACUGCCAGAACCACAGCUUUGCUUCCUUCUUCUUCAAGAUGAAUUGUAUGUUCUCUGUACCUACUAUAUGCUCAGCACUGUAUAUAAAAGAAAGUUUAAGUCUAGCGGCAAAGAAAAAGCUUAUGUAUAUAAAGCAAUUAAAAGAUAAUUUGUGAUAGUGUAUACUCGAGUUUUAAAUUGGGUAGUACAGACUGUGUUAUAUGAGUUCAGAUUAUAAACCAACUUACUGAGUUAGAGUUCUCAAGGAGGUUUUUACGAGCUGGAUGCGUUGGAAUAAAACUAACAUGAGUUAACAUUACAACCCCACUAUUUCUUAGCUACCUGAAUUUGAGCAAGUUACUUAACCUUUCUGAAAUCCAGUGUCUACAUCUGUUUUAAAAUAAAGAUAACAAUAAUAUCUUCCCCUUUGGGUUUUUAUGAGGAUUAAUCAAGAUAAUGAAAGUUAAAGAACUUAGCACAGUGCCUGUCACAUUUUAUAGGAUAGCCACAAGUCCCUGUGCGUGCUAGUUAAGUGUUAUCCAUAUGUUCUCCUCCAUUAGAUAAAUUUUACUCUUUCUUUAUUCUCCUUGGAUAUUUCUUCUUGUUAGUGGUUGGAAAUCAUUUAAGCAGUAUCUGAGAGCUAUUUUUGGAUCUUCAACUGUUGAUAGAUUCCUUAUGCACGAGAUUGUAAAAGAAAAAAUUUUCUCAAAAGAGAGAUCUUCAGGUAACUUCUAUUUAGCAUGUAUACAGAUUUUGUAGCAAUUCUUUAAGUAAACAUUAAAUGUAAUCUAUUGUUUUAUUAUCACUGUUUUUUUUGUGUUUAUUCAGAGCAGAAGAAGGGUAGACGGAGAAAGGGGAAAGAGAAGAGAAGGUGGAGGGGCAAGAAAAGGAAAAGAAGGAAUUGGAGAGAGAUGAAGAUUUACAUACACAUAAAAAAAUAGGGCAAGUAAUCCAGGCA